CCUGGCUCAGGAUGAACGCUAGCUACAGGCUUAACACAUGCAAGUCGAGGGGAAACGAUAUUGGAAGCUUGCUUCUGAUAGGCGUCGACCGGCGCACGGGUGAGUAACGCGUAUCCAACCUGCCCAUCACUUGGGGAUAACCUUGCGAAAGUAAGACUAAUACCCAAUGACGUCUCUAGAAGACAUCUGAAAGAGAUUAAAGAUUUAUCGGUGAUGGAUGGGGAUGCGUCUGAUUAGCUUGUUGGCGGGGUAACGGCCCACCAAGGCGACGAUCAGUAGGGGUUCUGAGAGGAAGGUCCCCCACAUUGGAACUGAGACACGGUCCAAACUCCUACGGGAGGCAGCAGUGAGGAAUAUUGGUCAAUGGACGAGAGUCUGAACCAGCCAAGUAGCGUGCAGGAUGACGGCCCUAUGGGUUGUAAACUGCUUUUAUAAGGGAAUAAAGUGGGAGUCGUGACUCUUUUUGCAUGUACCUUAUGAAUAAGGACCGGCUAAUUCCGUG
rnacentral:rRNA from 1 species